rnacentral:rRNA from 1 species
UACGAAGGGGGGCUAGCGUUGUUCGGAUUUACUGGGCGUAAAGCGCACGUAGGCGGUUUGUUAAGUGAGAGGUGAAAUCCCAGAGCUCAACUCUGGAACUGCCUUUCAUACUGGCAAGCUAGAGUCCGGAAGAGGUAAGUGGAACUCCUAGUGUAGAGGUGGAAUUCGUAGAUAUUAGGAAGAACACCAGUGGCGGAAGGCGGCUUACUGGUCCGGAACUGACGCUGAGGUGCGAAAGCGUGGGGAGCAAACAGG